rnacentral:rRNA from 1 species
UACGUAGGGUGCAAGCGUUAAUCGGAAUUACUGGGCGUAAAGCGUGCGCAGGCGGUUUUGUAAGUCAGAUGUGAAAUCCCCGGGCUUAACCUGGGAACUGCGUUUGAAACUACAAGGCUAGAGUGUGACAGAGGGGGGUGGAAUUCCACGUGUAGCAGUGAAAUGCGUAGAGAUGUGGAGGAACACCGAUGGCGAAGGCAGCCUCCUGGGCCAACACUGACGCUCAUGCACGAAAGCGUGGGGAGCAAACAGG